GUUGUUGUUUGGCGUCGAGAAGAAGCUUUUCGAGGUUCAUGAAGACAUUUUUCUCAUAACCAACAAUAUUUUUGUAGGAGCCGUAAUCAGACGCUGGGGAGGGGGGAGAAGAGAGGAAAUGCUUGCGUAAAGUUAUAAGAUACAUAUUAUUUGCAGUUCGGGCAAAUGAAUAUAGAUUUGAAUCUUUCUUGUGGAAGUGAUGGCGGCGAAGAUAGUUUCUGUGGCAGUACGGAUAUUGGGGCACUUCGUAAAGAUCGGCGCGGAAGUGAGUCUGGAAAAUCCAAAAAACACAUUAUAGAGUUGAAUAGCUCUUCUGAUAAAAAGGAAUCCGAUGAGGAAUCUAAAGAUUGUAGAGAUGGCGAAGAUGAUGAAGAUGUUGUUAGUUCCAAUAACUUUGAUAAUGGUGAAUAUGGUGAUACGGCAGCAAGUGUGUGUUCCGUGCAAGUUUCUCGAAAAUUAGUGGAAGGUUUGAUAAAUGUUAGAUGUUAUGUUGACACUUUGGAAAAGGUACAUGUGUUGUAUCGUGAGUAUGCACGAUUGACGGGCUUCUCUGUUAGAAAAUGAAGUCAAUGUUAUUUCCUUAACAGGUUGUGUGUUCGAGCGAAGAUCUAUCAUUGUUCAUGUGAGGGUUAUCCUGAUAAUAAAGCAUCCAUUGGAAAAGUAUCGGUAUGCAAAAAACAGUCAUAUAGGUGCAAUUGCAGGCUAAGCUACGUGUUUAUCAAGAUGAUGUUGAAUCAC